CGGGAUGUGGCGCAGUUGGUAGCGCGCUGCGCUGGGGGUGCAGAGGUCGUCGGUUCGAGCCCGGCCAUCCCGACCA
rnacentral:tRNA from 1 species